AAACUUCCUCUUGCUUCUCAAAGCUUUGAUGGUGUACCAAAC
rnacentral:sRNA from 1 species